rnacentral:rRNA from 1 species
UACGAAGGGGGCUAGCGUUGCUCGGAAUUACUGGGCGUAAAGGGCGCGUAGGCGGAUGUUUAAGUCGGGGGUGAAAGCCCGGGGCUCAACCUCGGAAUUGCCUUCGAUACUGGCCAUCUUGAGUACGGGAGAGGUGAGUGGAACUCCGAGUGUAGAGGUGAAAUUCGUAGAUAUUCGGAAGAACACCAGUGGCGAAGGCGACUCACUGGCCCGUUACUGACGCUGAGGCGCGAAAGCGUGGGGAGCAAACAGG